CCCGGGCCUUGUACACACCGCCCGUCACACCACGAAAGUCGGCAACACCCGAAGCCAGUGGCCUAACCCGCAAGGGAGGGAGCUGUCGAAGGUGGGGUCGGCGAUUGGGGUG
rnacentral:rRNA from 1 species